rnacentral:lncRNA from 1 species
AAAGAAAAACUUGGAGGAUCAUUUUCCUCUCCAAAUAGAUAUCAAAUUGAAUAUUUCUAAUCAUAAGGAGAAUGCUCCAAUGAACAAUGAAGGUUCCUAAUAAAAUAUGAGAAAGAAACUAAGAAUCAGUCUCGAUAAGUUCGUCGAUGAACUCCCUCUCGUAAAGUCACAUUCAUUUCUCUCUCGGAUAGCAGCAGCUUCCAAAUAGAGCAUACUCCUUAAAAGCUCCAUAUACCUUCUUCCCUCUUAAAAUUAAUCUUUUAC